ensembl:misc_RNA 7SK 7SK RNA
GGAUGUGAGGGCAAUCUGAUUGAGACAUCUGUCACCCCAUUGAUCGCCAGAGUUGAUUCGGCUGAUAUGGUGAGCUAGGAAGGUGUCCCCUUCCUCUGUUACCGCUCCAUAUGUGUCCCUCCCAAAGCUGAGUGCUUGGUCAAAGAGAAUGACCAUCCUGGAUAGAGGAGGACCAACCUUCCAUCAAGGGUAUAUGAGCUCCCCUGCUAGAACCUCCAAACAAGCUCUCAAGAGGGAACAAAACUACGGAGCAAGAGUUUCAGUAGGAAAGAGCUGAGAAAGACCCAGAAUUCCUAACAUGGAUGAUAUUUGGAGAAACAGAAGGUAUUUCUCUCUGAAAUU